rnacentral:rRNA from 1 species
CCAAUGCUUCUAAUUUCAUAGCAAGCUCGCUUGCUAUGAAAUAGGCAACCAGUAAUAUAAGCAAGUGUGUGCUAUUUAUAGCGCUAGCCUACAAACCUAUAAUUAUAUUAACUCUAAGAGAAAUUUAAUAAUAAACGAAGUGAAUUGAAAUAUCUUAGUAACUUUAGGAAAAGAAAUCAAAAGAGAUUCUAUGAUUAGCGUGAGCUAAAAUAGACUAGCCUAAAAAGUCAAAUGGUGGAUAAACUGUUUAAAUUAAAUGGGGAACCUUCCUCAAAGGCUAAAUAUAAUGUAUAAGCGAUAGUGGAAAGUACCGUGAGGGAACCAAAACAAAAACAGUGAUUUUAUAAGCAGUUCGGGAAAAUAAAAAAAAGUUAGAACGUACCUUUUGCAUAAUGGGUCACCAAGUUAACAUUAGAUGCGAGUAGGAGGCUUUGCCCAUACAUACGUAGUUAAACCGAGCGUUAAAAUAACGGUAAGUAUCUAAAGUUAGACCCGAAGCCUGGUGAUUUUACCAUAAUCAGGAUUAUAAAAGUCCGAACGGAAUAUUGUAGCAUAAAUAUCCGAAGAAUUAUGGUAGGUGUAGUGAAAGACAAUACUGACCAGGAUAGCUGGUUUUCUGCGAAACCUAUAACAGUAGGCAAUUUAAGUAUAAUAUCUUAGCAGGUACAGAAUUUAAUCUCAGACAAGACAUAAGGCUUAGCUUGCUAGCAAGUAAAGCUCAUGUUUUAUUUUGUACAAAUUGGGGGAUCAUGAAGAUUUUAUCAGUGAGUAUGUAGACUCGGAAUGGCAAAGAUAUAUCUUAAAUCAUCAGACAUAGAAUGAUAAGGUUGUAUGUCAAAAGGGAAACAGCCCAGAACAAGAGUUAAGGUUCCUAAAUUAUUAGUUGAGUGAAAUUAAGAAGGUUUUUAUUAAAGUCGACAAGGAGAUAGGCUUAGAAGCAGCCAUAAUUUUAUGACCUCGUAACAGAGCGCUUGUUAAGUUUUAAAAGCAUCGAAAAUUUAUCGGAUCUAAACAAUAUACCGAAACCUUGUCCAUAUUAUUUUAUAAUUAAAGCUUAAUUAUAAUUAAAUGGGGUAGCAGAACGUUGAGCUAAAUUAAGAUUUUUAUUUUUUAAAUGAAAUUAUAAUAAUUUAACUCAAGUGAUAAUGGUGACAUGAGUAACUAAAAGAAAAAAUAAAAUUUUUCCGCCUAAAGCUUAUGGAUGUAAUUAAGUAACGGCCUCUAAGUUUAUAUUAUCUAAAGAUUUAAACGAUGAGAUAAUCUUUUGUACUAAGGACGACAUUUUAAGUGAAAAAUGUACUGGAAAAAUAGUACUAAAUUAAUGGGUAUAGCUAAUUAGUUAGCUAUAGCUAUAAAUGAAAAGUAACCGUACCUAGAAUCUGAAACAAGUAAGCUAGUAGAGAAUACGAAGGCGUAAAUGAGCUAACAAUCAUAAAGGAACUCGGCAAAUUGACUACCGUAACUUCGGGAUAAGGAGAGCUCAUUAUUCUUGAUUAAUAUCAGGUAAAGAGGAAGAAGCAUGAAAUAGUGUUGUACGACUGUUUAAUUAAAACACAGCACUUUGCUGAAAGAUUAAAAAUCUAAGUAUAGAGUGUGAUGUCUGCCCGGUGCCGGCUGGUUAACAGAUAUAAUUAAAUAUACUAAUAUUUGAUGUAGACGGAAACCCCGGUUAAAGGCGGCCUUAACGUGAGGGUCCUAAGGUAGCGAAAUGCCUUGGCCGUUAAAUGCGGUCUUGCAUGAAUGAUGUAACGAUACAACAGCUGUCUCUAUGAUUGACUCAGUGAAAUUGGAAUAGCUGUGCAGAUACAGUUUACCUCUAGUUAGACGAGAAGACCCUAUGCAGCUUUACUGUCACUAAUUAUAGAGUAUGAUAAACAAUUUUCAGAUUAUAAGGUAAUUGACGGCUAGCUUGUUCAGCAAGCUAGCUCUAUGACAAUGAGAAUCCUUUAUUUUUUUUUCAUAUGAAUGAAUUGGUUUAGGAUUAUGAGUAGGUAGCGGCUUCUGCUACUUGGCGUAAGCAUUGCUUGCGUCAGGUGUCUGAAGUAUGCAUUCCAGCUCAUGCAUAGUAAAUCAACCUAAUUCAGCUUAUUUUCCUUUCUGCCAUAAGCGCAUAAUGAUAGAUUUAACUUAAAUUUUGAUUUAUGCCAGCUGCAGAAAUAGAUAAGUACCCUUGGCUAAGGAACUAUCGCUAGGGGACAGUUUAUGUGGGGCACAGACCCUGUAAAGAGUAAACAGGAGUGUCUAAUAAUUUAUAAUUAUUUUGUUUGCGAUUUAAGAUAGUGAAACUAUUUUUAAUCAUAUAAAAUUAUUUAUAUGUACAUUCGUUGUAUAUAUAUUUAAAAAAAGGUAGGAUUUUCACUAUAUAGAAAUUAGAGAUAAUAAAAAUAUUAAGAAUAUACGUUUCAGGCUGGGAGGGGCAAGCUCCUCCCUUUGAAAGGUAGCACUAAUAUUUUUUAGCUAUUAAGACAGGCUAUCAAGCUAGGCUCUAAUAGUUAUGUAUUAAUUAUCUAAAAAGCUCAACGGCUAAAUCUUGCCUUACUGUUUGAUUAUCAACAAAUCU